rnacentral:rRNA from 1 species
GUCGAGGGGCAGCAUAGGACUUCGGUUCUGAUGGCGGCCGGCGCACGGGUGAGUAACGCGUACACUACCUACCUUUAACAGAGGGAUAGCCCUGGGAAACUGGGAUUAAUACCACAUAGUAUUGCAUAUUUUAUUUUUAUGCAAUUAAAGCUCCGGCGGUUAAAGAUGGGUGUGCGUUAGAUUAGCUAGUUGGUAAGGUAAUGGCUUACCAAGGCUACGAUCUAUAGGGGGCGUGAGAGCGUGGACCCCCACACGGGUACUGAGACACGGACCCGACUCCUACGGGAGGCAGCAGUAAGGAAUAUUGGACAAUGGGCGCAAGCCUGAUCCAGCCAUCCCGCGUGAAGGAUGACGGCCCUAUGGGUUGUAAACUUCUUUUAUUAGGGAAGAAACCUUUUCAUUUAUGAAGAGCUGACGGUACCUAAAGAAUAAGCACCGGCUGACUCCGUGCCAGCAGCCGCGGUAAUACGGAGGGUGCAAGCGUUAUCCGGAAUCACUGGGUUUAAAGGGUGCGUAGGCGGAUAAAUAAGUCAGAGGUGAAAGCUUUCCGCUUAACGGGGAAAUUGCCUUUGAAACUGUUUAUCUUGAAUUAUGUUGGAGGGUUAGCGGGAAUGUGACAUGGAGCGGUGAAAU